rnacentral:lncRNA from 1 species
ACUGCUAACUUAGGGACGGCUAGCGCAGAUAGCCCUCGUGUAGCUUUUCGCGAAAUUCGAAAACAAACAAACAAACUUAUCACGUAUCAUUUAGCCUGAUGAUGGUAUCAACAUGAUAGUUGGAAGCUUAUUCAGUAAGUACUGAACUUUGAAAUAAAAACCUCAUUUAGUUAUUAUUAUUUAUAAUAUUACAAAGUAAUGUUUAACGCAUUCUUGUUUACUAUAUAUUACCUUUUAAACAAAAUCGCCUCACUUCUACACCACUGUCAUUGAAAUAAAAAUAAAUAACAGACUAAGAAUCUUUGGGAUAAAAAAAGAGUAAGUAUUAAGAGUCAGUUAAAGGAAAUAGAUCAAGACGCAAUGAUAGGAAAUAUUACGUUAGAAAUGAUUUUUAUGUUGCAUAAUAAGAUUAGAUGAUUUAGCUAUUCAACCAGAAAAGUUCAACAAAAUCGGCAUGCAUUCUCGUUGAUUUGACGAGAUAUGUAAAUCACCAAGUCAUAAGAGGUUGACGUUAGGCUUAGCUGUGACGUCAAGAAGAUAAAAAUCACUUUUCUUAAUGAUUACGUUAUAACCCGGUGUCUGUAUUAACCCUAUUAUUAGUAUUAUUUAAACUCUUCAGAAACAAUGACUAGAAUGAAUACUGGAUGUUGUUUCAUGUUAUAAUUUUUCUCUCAGCACUUAAUGUGAAUUUAAGUCCAAGCCACUAGGAGUAAACUCAACAUAUUAUUAUUUUUGAGUAAAAAGAAGUAAAGGAAAAAGAGAAGUCAAAUCUCUGUCUAAAAUGGCAUUUAUUUUAAACUAAAAUGCUCAUAUGUUUCAUUUAAAAUUUGAAGCCUUUGGCACAAAGUUCUAGUUAUCCAAAACUUUAGCAUAACUUUUAACGUCUCAUAAAACCUCAACAAAACUUAAAAGUAAAGCAGAAAAAGUAAAGUCCUUAUUUUUGUCAAUUGGUUUACAGUAUAAAAAAUAGACAUCUUCGUUAGUUGAAGUAUGAUAUCCACGUGUUCUCGUCGUUUAAAAUAUUGUUAUCAAAUUUCUCCAUUGGUUUAAAGUAGUUACCAGACGCCCUCAUUGAACAAAAGGCCUUAGAAAAGUAGACAUAUGUUUAAGCGAAAAAAAGGUAAUUAAAGGAAAUAAACUCGACACCAGGGAGUGCUAUGGUUGUUGCUCCAGAGACUACUGAAUUAGUUACUAGUUUUCAUGAGCUAAAAUCAAUUUAAAAUCUACUAAACACAUUGACAUCCAGUUACAAUCAACUGGCGUAGAAUUAACAUUUUAUUAUAACUUAGCUCACGUUAUUUAUAUUUUUUGUACCUUGUGCAUUUUCAGAAAGAUUUCUUUCAGUGCCUACUAUUUAAAAGAGGAAUUACUGCUUUGUGAAGCAUCUUAGAAAAGCGUACUUAUCCGUUAGAGUGGAAAUGAUAAGAACCAACGUUCAAAUACGAGACGAUGUUGUUUUCCAUUUCAAAAAACCAAAAGUAUCUAAUAUAUUCCAUGAGAACAUCCCUUCACUACUACAGCUUGCACUAUCAGAACCCCACAAGGUCCAAAGAUGAUGGCCAUUUUCUGUCUGAAGAUUGGACAGAUUUAUGUGACCUCUUAACCAAUGGUUGUCUUUACGAUGGCUGAUAAGUAUCACUUCCUGUGCUGGAGAAAAAAUAGCCUCAUCCUUCCGUUGGCUAAGGCGUUGUGUCAUCCACGUGUCGUGUACAUGUCUUAGGGACAAAGGAAAGUUAACGUGAUUCUUGACCAGGUCGUAGGUUUAAAGCUGAUUUUAAUUGGCGGCUUGAGGUCACACCUGAAAGACAGAUGAGGAGUGUGUGAAAUUCGAGUAUAUCAUGUACUUUUUCACCAUCUUUUGAAAAUUCUAUGUAUUUUGCUUCUAUGUAAAUUUUGGCUUAAGAAUACUUGAUCCAGAACCAUCAGAUUUCUCAGUUAAAUCGUGACUUUGACUCUCUCUUUCUCCAUUUUUCGGAUCAAAUGUGUUGCCAAAAAGGUAGACAUAUUCUUUCGCUGGCUGAGGAGAAAACAUCGGAAUGUCUAAGACUGCGAUUGUUAAGAGCAAGUGAUAGGUUACGUGAUACAUCAACAAGACAAAGAAACUGGUGGUUUUGUGUAAACCUAAAUUUCACGGACAUCCCUACUUGUGCAGAGAUUCAAGUCGAGGGAAGAAAAGUUGAAGAUCUAGUCACUGAUCCAGUAGAUGUGAUCAUCCACUUGUCUACGCACACUUGUUCCCUGUGUUUUAUAAUAAAGAUUGUUUU